rnacentral:rRNA from 1 species
CCUUCGGGUUGUAAAGUUCUUUCGCUUAGGAACAAGAAAAAGGAGCUAAUAUCUCCUUGAUUUGAGAGUACUAGGUAAAGAAGCACCGGCUAACUCCGUGC